rnacentral:rRNA from 1 species
UACGUAGGGUGCAAGCGUUAAUCGGAAUUACUGGGCGUAAAGCGUGCGCAGGCGGUUGUGCAAGACAGGUGUGAAAUCCCCGGGCUUAACCUGGGAACUGCACUUGUGACUGCACAGCUGGAGUACGGGCAGAGGGGGAUGGAAUUCCGCGUGUAGCAGUGAAAUGCGUAGAUAUUCGCAAGAACACCAGUGGCGAAGCGGCUCACUGGCC